UUUUAUAACAAAGCUAACUAGGUUUGGUCCUGGUUAGUAUCGGAAUGGGAGACCACCAGGGAAUACAUAGUGCUCUAAGUC
rnacentral:rRNA from 1 species